AACUAAAUGUGACUCAUAUUUAGCUUCUUCUGCUCAAUGAGUAUUUUAAUAGCCGCAGUACCCUGACUGUGCAAAGGUAGCAUAAUCAUUUGGCUCAUAAAUGGAGUCUUGUAUGAAUGAAUGUAUGGGUAAAGACUGUCUCUGGGUAAUAGGUAGAAUUUUUUUAGUAAGUGCAAAUACUUACAAACAGUUAGUAGACGAGAAGACCCUAGAAAUUUUUUAAUAGUAAUGAACAAGUGACAUUAUAUCUAUUUUGCUGGGGCGGCAGAGUAACAACUUUAACUUACUUCGUGAUAUGACUUUUAUUUACAGAUAAAUCAAAAUUACUCUAGGGAUAACAGCGUAAUUCUUAAGAGUUUGCGACCUCGAUGUUGGACUAGGAAAGAAGGUACUCAGAAGGUAUUUUUUUACGUUCUGUUCGAACGAAUUCUCCUACAUG
rnacentral:rRNA from 1 species